rnacentral:ncRNA from 1 species
CAACUGGACUAUAGAGAGAGGAGAUAAGGGUUUCCCUGGGAAAAUAUCAGGUGGUCAGUUUGACUGGGACGGUAGCCUCUAAUAAAGUAUCAGAGGCCUUCAAAGGUAUGCAUAUAUUGGUCAGAAACCAAUGAACUAUGUAAAGUUUAUUAAAGCGUAAUAGUAUAAGCAUGCUUGACUGAAAGACUGAUCGGUCGAUCAGAUACGCAAGUAGGAUAUAGUGAUCCGGUGAUUCAUAAUGGAAUGGUCAUCGCUCAAGAAAUAAAAGUUACG